rnacentral:rRNA from 1 species
GAUGAACGCUGGCGGCGUGCCUAAUACAUGCAAGUCGAGCGAACAGACGAGGAGCUUGCUCCUCUGACGUUAGCGGCGGACGGGUGAGUAACACGUGGAUAACCUACCUAUAAGACUGGGAUAACUUCGGGAAACCGGAGCUAAUACCGGAUAAUAUAUUGAACCGCAUGGUUCAAUAGUGAAAGACGGUUUUGCUGUCACUUAUAGAUGGAUCCGCGCCGCAUUAGCUAGUUGGUAAGGUAACGGCUUACCAAGGCAACGAUGCGUAGCCGACCUGAGAGGGUGAUCGGCCACACUGGAACUGAGACACGGGCCAGACUCCUACGGGAGGCAGCAGUAGGGAAUCUUCCGCAGUGGGCGAAAGCCUGACGGAGCAACGCCGCGUGAGUGAUGAAGGUCUUCGGAUCGUAAAACCCUGUUAUUAGGGAAGAACAAAUGUGUAAGUAACUAUGCACGUCUUGACGGUACCUAAUCAGAAAGCCACGGCUAACUACGUG